UCCAUAGUGGUGGCUGGGCCCUGUGCUGACCGACCAGCAGGAGUGGGCAGUGGUGGAAAUGUAGAGGGCCAGGAAUGAUAAACGGCUGUCGGAAAUGAAGCAAGGCAAUUGAGGAGAACAAUGACACCUUUGCCAGCCUGCAUAUCCAUCUCAUAAAUACAGGAGUCUCUGUAGCUCCGUCGGGCAUGGACACUUACUCCAUCCAUUUGUCCGACGCAUGCGCAAAAGAACAACACAGAGCAAAGCGUCCUCUACUUCACCACCCAGGACCUUGAUGUUGGACGGCCCCAACAGAAGCAUCCCAAGUCUGCAAACCAUCUGCCCUUGCAGCUGCAGCUUCACACCAGGCCUGAGGGUUAAGAGCCAACAAUCCCAAUGGAAAAUAUAGCUUCCUUUUUCAAAAAUAUGGUACAAAAGUUUCAGAAAACCUAUUGUGUUUUCUUAAUUCUUGAGAAACUGGCAGUGACAUAGCAGUAAUGUGUUUAUUACAGUAACUUUAUAUUAACAUAUAAAUAAGUUACAGCAGUCCCUAUGUUUCCCUUAGCUUCCAUUAACUUGAACACAUUUUUCGUUGUUAAAACUAGAGACACAGUUGCUAGAAAGAUGUAACCAAAACACGUCGGUAGCAGCAAAAAAACACCACAAUGCAGUUCAAUGUUUC